rnacentral:lncRNA from 1 species
CAAGGGUAACUUAUCAAAACACACCUAAAAUAUCAAUUAUUUAACAUUUUAGAUUCCAUGCCCCUCUCAAUUGACAAAUGAAAUAAUUAGCAUCCCAUUAUCAACAAACAACAUCGAUUUGAGUAGAGUAGACAAGCAAGGAAAUUCCUUUGCUUUAUCCCAUCAUCAACAAACAAUAUCUAUUUGAGUACACAAGUAAGGAAAUUCCUUUGCUUUUAGGGUCUUAGUUCUCAAGUUCCAAGAUUGAGAGCCUUGGUUCUCUUCUAUACAAACUAAUUAUUUUGUGAAACAGUAAUGGAAUCGUAACUAAACAAUAUUAGUAAUGGAAUCUCAAUCUGAAACUAAAAACAAUAUUAGUAAUGGAAUCUUAAUCUGUAACUAAACAAUAUUAGUUAUGGAAUCUCAAUCUAUAACUAAACAAUAUUCGUAAUGGAAUCUCAACCGGUAACUAAAUACAAUAUUAGUAAUAGAUAAUCUGUAACUAGCUGCGGUAUGGGGUUGGGAAAUCCCAAUAGAAAGUCAAAUCGAUAUCUAUUUGCCUGUAACUAAUAUCAUAUAAUGAUACCUUCAUGCGUAUUCAUGACAUCACCAACGAGAAUCCAAAUACUUGUUCCAUAUAAGUUGUCUGCAUGGGUGCUUUGGCACUGGAGAGGCCAGAGUCAGCUAAACUUUUAAACUCUCUUCAAAAGGUAUUCUAUGCAAAAGUCGAUAAAGCAAAGGAGUCAAGAGAGAAUGGAAUUCACCAUGUUAGAGGUUCUUUUCAUGUUUUUGCAAAUAAAAAGUCCAAUUUGUGAAGAAAAUUGAGUUACAUGAAGAUUCACAUUGCAAUACUACAACUUUUAUCUUGCUUCCAUAAUAGAAAGAUAAACUUGCAGAUAGAAAGAAAUUUACAAUUUUUAUCUUCUUUCCAUACAGAGAGAAAACAGUUUUACAAUCUUUAUCCUGUUUCCAUAAUGAAAUGAGAAAGCUUUUUAACUGUUACAUAAAAAAUACAAAGAAGAUUUAAGUUUUUCUUUACCUUGUUUCCAAAAUAAAAUUUCUAAAGGAGAAGCUUCUUAACUAGAUUUCUAGAAACUAUUGGCUCGCUCAACAAUUGUCCUCAACCAUUAAUGGUUAAUAAGACUUUGGAGGAGAUUGAACUCCUAUUUAUCUAUAUCUAUAUUUAUACUACAUUAUAUAUUUUUAUUAUUAUUUUACAUUAUUAAGCCACAUUUAAAGGUAGACACACAUUUCGCAAGAAUAAAAGAGGACCUAUCUUUAGAGAAUGUAGGUUCGGUGCCUAUGAAUAGAAGGAUUUUAGAAUAGGGUAUGUUUCUAAUUUUUAAACAAAGAAUAUAAUAGGACGUGGUAAUCAAUCGGAUGAAAAAACUCUUGCCUGGGAAAAGGGCUUUGGUCGUGGUGAUAGCACCCCACACCCUAGUUAUUAUGUUGUGGUUUAUAUUCCCACCGCUAAUACCACCGACUAAUACCUUCAUAAAGCUAAUUCCUAAUCUACUUAAAAAAACGGGUAGGAGCCAAUCUUCCCCAUUGAAUUACUCAAAAAAAAAAACACUUUUGCUUAUGUGCAACGCAAGCAAUCCGACUAGUGAAAGUUAAACCCACAAGUAAAUAGUUAUUCAAAAGUGGAACUUCGAACUACUGAUAACACACAUCAACAAAAAAAAAAAGAAAGUGAUAAGUUAUUCAAAAGUGGAACUUCGAACUACUCAUAACACACAUCAAAAAAAAAAAAAAGUUGUGUGGGGACUUGGAAAGUAACCAGUACAAAAACACCUCUCUCAAAAUGGGAAAAACAAAAAACUCAAAAGUUUUGGACCUCACUACAAAAUGUCUAAAAAUAUUGACUAUUUUUUAAUUUCCAAAAUUAUUUUGGGUCCGUUCAUAAACUUCACAAAAAUUAAAGUAAAAUAGACAAAAGUUUCGAUUUCUAUUAAUAAUAAAUGAAAUAGGCAAGAAUUAGAAAAAGGAAGUCUAAUAACAAGAAUGGUUCAAUCUUAGGAAGAAGACAAGUAAAAAGAACUAACAUGAAGUAAAAUGACCAACAGAAAAAGAAGAUUACCUUAUCUUCUUCUCAUCAGUUAGGUACCAUAUGAAAAAAAUACUAAAAUAAUAUCUUCAAGAUUUCAAUAUCUGGUUAUUAGGGAAAAACUGGAUGUAUGUUGACUGAAUUUAAAAGGAAACUAGAAAUUGUUAAAAAUUAAAAAGGGUAAAAACUUGUUAAAAUCAGUUAAUAAAAAACAAAAAUUAAAGGAACUAAUGGAGUCAUUAAAAAACUACAAAAUAUGACAAAAAAUACAUGGAUUAUUUAAAAAUUUGUGUCAUACCAUGAAUAAUUCAGAAAAAAAAAAAAUUCCUAAGAUAAGAAAACUUCCCAAAUAAUCCUAAAACCCUCAAAAUCAUUUAAAAAUAUAUCUCUAACUUUUUAUUUUAACAUUUAUUUUAUAUUUUUAACAUUUUUUUUUAUGCCCUGGCGAGUUGCUGUGGAACUCAGCCCAAUUCGGCCUCAGGCCAAGUGGCCCGGCCGAGUAGCAUAGAGAGAUUAAGAAAAAUUUGCGUAUGUGUGACAGAGAGAGAAGAAAAACAAAUAUAGAAAUAAGAAAAAUAUAUAUAAAAGAAAAGAGUAAUAAAAACUUACAAGGUUGUUGUUAUUGCUGCUUCUCACUGCUUUGAGAUACAAUUGAACUUGUUUGUUUUGUUUAUACAGGGGUUUUAUUGAGCAGUUAGUAGGGAAUUAGAAUUCUACUUCAAAUAUAAAUCACAG